rnacentral:rRNA from 1 species
UGCCAGCCGCCGCGGUAAUACGAAGGGAGCUAGCGUUGUUCGGAAUUACUGGGCGUAAAGCGCGCGUAGGUGGCUUGGCAAGUCAGGGGUGAAAUCCCGGAGCUCAACUCCGGAACUGCCUUUGAAACUGCCCGGCUUGAGUCUCGGAGGGGAUGGUGGAAUUUCUAAUGUAGCGGUGAAAUGCGUAGAGAUUAGAAGGAACACCGGUGGCGAAGGCGACCAUCUGGACGAGUACUGACACUGAGGCGCGAAAGCGUGGGAAGCAAACAGGAUUAGAUA